GUGCGCACUCGCUGCCUGCGUGCUUCAAGGAAAUCAACAGUGCAUAAAUUAAACUCAGGUGCUUGAAACCGGAUUCUCCUUCAGCAGGAUUCCUUUUUAAGGCCGAAUUUUAAAUAGUAUCUCCAUCUAAGAAACCACUCAUCCAUUACUCUGACUCCGGUUCUGGCUGAGCUGUUCGGAUCAUUGCAAAACAUUACAUCAUCACAGAGAGGGAACAUCGCUACUACGGCCAAAGCGGCUGCCAAGGCGUCUGCAAAGGACUGUACACUGCCUCCUUUGUGAUGUCCACAAUGCGGAUCCAUGGUGACCACUAGGUAGAGAGGACGUCCAAUAAGGGAACCAACGCUUCGUGUCUUCCACCACAGCAUGUGAUUACAUUUUGGGAGUCUCUUCUAGACUGUUCCUCCCUCCUGGUCAUCCUGCCACAGAGCUGGUAUUCUGGGCUCUAGUGUGCCCUCCUGGCCUCGCCACAGCAGGCAGCCUUUCAUUACAGCUGCCGGAGGAGGUGCCCUGGAGAUCCCCAUCGAAGACACCAUCACCACACCCCAAACACCAGUGCCUCUCGCUGCUCUGAACACCAACAACAGCAAAACACAUGCAUCAUCACUCAAGGUAGUGAAAUUACAUAUCAAUCUAAACAAACCUGAGUGUUAAUUAGUCUGAAGGUUUUGUGAGAAAUAAUAUGCAAUUAUGAUUCUCAUGUUUGUUAUUUUAACGUCUGAAUAUUAUAUUACUAUAUUUUCUGCAAAUCAAAUUGUUAGGUGAGUGAGGGGGCCUCCUGUAACUUGCAGGACCCUACACACCUAUGCAUAGUCCGCGUGUAGGGUAGAGAGGUAACGGAAGAGGGAGAUGCGCAAAUAGCAUAUUAUGGAACUAAGGCAAGAUGCACAUAUCAAUCUUGCCAUAGUCUGUCAGAUAACCAACAGUACAAAAUUGGUUAAACUGAUAACGAUUAAUCUUUCUUGUCUGCAUCGUAAUGCACUGUACAAAACUGUUAUCUCACUUACUUUUAAUGAGCAAUUGCACUCCCAAAGAGUGAGCUCAUGCAUCCAAAAACCACUGCAUGCUAAUUGCGUUUUUUCUACAUUUUCUGAGCUCCAAAUAAACGAUUAUGUAUGAAAAAAGGCCCACAGUGGGCCCAUUUAAGUGUGCUUUUAAAGCCCCCAGUGGCUUCUUUUCUUUUAAACCCCAUUUCACAAAGUUGCACACUAUUUCCACGAAACAUGUCAUUCAACUUGGAAAACUUAGCAAAAUGUUGUGAGCCAGUCUGAGUUUGAAAGUGACCCAGGCCUACAUGAGUGGCCAGACGGAUGUCUCUUCUCAGUAAAAGACAGUUGACAGCUCAUCUGGAGUUUGCCAAAGAGACACUUGCAGAAUUCACAGACCAUGAGAAACAAUAUUCUGUGGUCUGACGAAACAAAGAUUGAACCCUCUGUCUGGAGGAAAUCAGACACCGAUCAUCACCUAGCCAAUACAUCUCCACACUGAGCAUGGCGGUGGCCGUAUCAGGCUGGGGGUGUUUUCAGCAUUAGGAACUGGGAAACCAGUAAUAAUCGAAGGAAAUAUGAAUGCAGCAAUGUGCAGAGACAAAUUUAAUGAAAAGCUGCUGCAAGGUACUCUGGACUUUAAAACUGGAAUAAUGGUUCAUCUUACAACUGCACAACAACCCUAAGCACACAGCCAAGAUGGCAAUGGGACAACUCUGCGAAUGUCCUUGAGUGUCCCAGCCAGAACCCAGACUUUAACCAUAUUGAACAUCUCUGGUAAGAUCUGAAAUUGGAUGUGCAUCGAUGCUUCCCUUCCAAAAAUAGUUGUGCCUAGAUUGUAACUUGUAGCACUUAAAAAGACGAGGCUGUAAUUGGUGCUGAAAGGCUUCAGCAAGGAACUGAGUAAAAGUUGUAAAUACUUAUGCGUGUGUUAUUUUUUUAUAUAUCUAAACCUAAUAACUGGUUUGGCCACCCAUAGCAGGAACAAAUGCAAUCAAGCAUUUUCAAUAACUUGCAAUGAGUCUGUUACAGCACUGUGAAGGAAUUUUAACCCACUUAUCUUUGCAGAAUUGUUGUAAUUCAGCCACAUUGGAGGGUUUUUGAACAUUAUCCACCUUUUUAAGAUCAUGCCACAGCUCAAUUGGAUUCAGGUUAGGGCUUUGACUAGGCCACUCCAAAAUCUUCAUUUUGUUUUUUUCAGCCAUUCAGAAGUGGACUUGCUAAUGAGGAUCAUUGUCCUGCUGCAGAACCCAAGUUCGUUUCAGUUUGAGGGCACUAACAGAUGACAUUCUCUUUCAGGAUGAUUUGGUAAAGAGCAUAAUGGUUUAAUUUAUCACAGUAUGUUCUCCAGGUCCUGAAGCAGCAAUUCAACACCAGACCAUCACAUUACCAUCACCACCACAUUUUACUGUUGGUAUGAUUCUCUUUUUCUGAAAUGGGGUGUUACUUUUGCUCCAAACAAAAUGGGACACACAUCUUCCAAAAGUUCAACUUUUCUGUUGUCAGUCCAUGGAGUAUUUUCCUAAGAGUCUUGGGGGUUAUCAAUAUGCUUUUUUUGGCAAAACUGACACAAGCUUUUAUGUUCUUUUUGGUCAGCACUGAUUUUUGUCUUGGAACUCUGCCCAUGCAAACCAUUUUUGCCCAGUUGUUCUUAUGCUGGAGUCAUGAACACUCACCUUAACUGAGGCAAGUGAGGCCUGCAGUUCUUUGGAUGUUGUUUGUGGUCCCUUGAAUGAGUUGUAGCUGCACUCUUGGGGUAAUUUUGGUCGGAUGGCCACUCCUGGGAAGGUUCUCCACUGUUCCAUGUUUUUGCCAUUUGUAGAUAAUGGCUCUCACUGUGGUUCGCUGCAGUCCCAAAGCUUUAGAAAUUGCUUUAUAACCUCUUCCAGACUGUUGAAUCUCACCACUGUUGAAUUGUUUUCUUUCUCAUUUGUGUUUGAAUUUCUUUGGAUAUUGGCAUGAUGUCUAGCUUUUGAGGACCUUGCUCUACUUCACUUUGUCGGACAGGUCUUAUUUAAGUAAUUGUGAACAGGUGUGGCAGUAAUCUGGCCUGGGUGUGGCUAGGGAAAUUGAACACAGUGUGAUAAACCAGAGUUAUGUUUUAAUUAACACAAUUUUUCACACAGGGUUAUGUAUGUUCUGUAUUCCCUUAAUAAAUACCUUCAAUUCAAAACCGC